rnacentral:sRNA from 1 species
AGAGCCGUCGUGUCAAACGGACAUGAUGGCGCUGAAGAACAUCAGGAUUUUUCUUUUUCUUGAUGGCCAACGAACUGGCAAACGAGCUUCUCACCAUCCGGUGU